rnacentral:lncRNA from 1 species
GUGUUUAGGAUUCCUUCUUCUUCUUUUGUUGCAAAACAGAUUUGUUACCCAUUCUUACCCAUUCCUUGACAAAAGCUUCUUCCAUGUCUACUCUCCUCCAAACUCUCUCCACUAGGCAACAAUGGAGGCUAAAAACACAGAUUUUUCUGAAGUGGUUCUCUACUAUUGUCGAUGAUGAACCGAUUGUGGUUGUCCAUUAACUGAAGCUCGGUAUGCCAUCUCCAUCCUUUUUCUGUUCUUAUCUCUCUCAAAUUCUCCGCACACUUUUUUUAUUUCACUGUUAUGUUUUUCUUAGCCGCCCUUCCUGUAAUAUUUUCUUUGCUCAUGUGGCUUCAUUUCUGAUUUUACUUCAAUAUUUCACGCUUUUGUUUCCAGUUUGUCUCGCUUCUGCGGUAUUUUUGACUUUUGGUAAGUCUCCCCUUCUUUCUUUAGUUGAUAUACUAGCUUAUCGGUAGUGAAUUUGAGUGGGUAUGUUUUAAUUUUUAAAUACAUGUUUGAGUGGGUUUCUCAUUUUCACAUGUUUGGAAAUACUUAUGUAUGUGCAUGUUUGGGUUACAUUAUUAUUUUUUAUUUUGGUUGAGUCAGAUGGUAUUCUACGAGUGUAUAGUUCUAUUGAAGAAGGUUUCUACUAGGUACUCUUGCUCUCUUUGGUCUGUUUGGUUCCAGUGAUUUCCAUGAGCUUGUAAAUUUAUGAUUUCAUUCUUCUCAGAGAUUACUGAUUUAGUUGUUUUCAUUUAGCUAUUGAAGUUCUCUAUGUGCUUCUGCUUUGCUCUCUUAUUACACCUUUUUUGGCUUUUAAUUUCGCUCUGUAUGAUUUUGAACAUUUGAUGGACACAGAUCUGAUUUUUUUUAUUUUCAUUCAUAUUUUCGUGCCUGAGCCGAGGAUAUGUUGGAAACAGCCUCUCUAUCCUCACAAGGUAGGGGUAAGGUCUGCGUACACACUAUCCUCCCCAAAUCUCACGGUGUGGGAUAAUACUGGGUAUGUUGUUGUUGUUGUUGUUGUCAUAUUUUCGUGUUGUACUCUUAGCAUGUAUGUGAUUAUUUGAUCACACGUGUCUAUGAUAUUUUUUUACAUGGAUACGCACAUUAUUACAGUAUAGGGAACACUAAGUGCCAUCAAGACAAAAAUAGUAAUGGGGAGGAGAAGAACUUUAAUGUAGCCAAAAUUAUUUGACAGUAUGCCUGAAUAUGUAAGUCUCAAUCCUUCAACUAUAAAUCCUGAAUUCUAAAACUGUGAAAUGUGGUGAUUUCCUUUUGUUUGUUUUAUGUUGGUAUGCCAAUUGUUGAUUUAUAACAAACUUUAGUUUAUUCUUUGUCUCUGUUAUACAAAUAUAGUUUUCCCUCUUUACUGUCGUUAUACAAAUGUAGUUUCCCCUCUUUACUGUCUUCAAUUGGAUAAUGCUGCGAGCUUUGCUGAGAUUUUUACUUGGAUUUGGAAUUUUCAAGUUGAAACUUAAGAUCUUUAUUUAACUUUUGCGGUCCAACUUUCAUAGGAAUGCUUUAUUGAUCUGACAAAGAUAGUGAUUCUCCUUUAAUUUUCUUCCUAUAUUCUUCCGAGGACUCAGGUUCAUGCUUUUUUUAGUCUCUCUUUUUUUCAGGUGGGUGUUAGAGUUCACAAAGCUCUAUUUUAAAAUAGGUUCCUGUCAAUUGGUUAAUGUUUGAAUCUACUGGGCUAUCUUGGAAUUUAUAGUAGUCAUAUCUAACAAUUUUAGGUCAGUUUAGAAGUUCAAUUGAAAUUGAGAAAAAUGGUGAUUAUCUGAGGCAAGAAAUUAAUCUUCCUGUUAUGGUAAAAAAUAUUUGCACUCUAUCACCUAUUUUAUCUAAUGCAACAGCUAAGUCCAGCCACCUCUUAUCGAUCUUGUUUUAAUGUUGCUCUGCUAUGUUCGCCUCAAUAAAGUAAGGAUUCAUGUCACAUAAUUCUAGGAAUGAUAAGUAGGCGAAUCCCUCAAAGAACUUCCAUGUGUUAUAAAAUUGCAAACUAUAAAUUUAUCUUCGGAUAUGUCAUUUGGUUGUCUGCCAUUUUAUUUUGAUUACACCAAAUAUGUAUUUCAAUGACUAAGGUAAGUUUUAAUUAAGACGGGCAUUUGAACAAAGCAAUUUCCUGCAGCAUUAAUUGUGUGGAACAAAAGCAAGGCUCUCUUAACUACUAAAGAAAUAAUGUCUUAUUUUUUGGAACUAUAAGUUAUCAAUUUAAGAUUUUCUUUCACUUUAGAUCUCAACAAUGCUAUUUUAGCGUCGAUUGAAGAGGAAAUGACUUAUUCUGCUCAAAUGAUCUAUUUUCUCCUAAGUAAUGAGAUUACCUAACGUUAACCUUUCAAUUUAGAUGCCUAAAAUUUAUAUCUUAGUCUCAUUUGAAGAGGAAGACUUAUUGUACUAGAAUAGAAGGACAUCAGUUUCUUCCCAAAAUUUUACAUAUUCCUAAUUGCUCAAAAUUAUGAUUUAUCCUAUCUUGAAAAGGACAUAAUUGGAAGAAAUGGUACCUUCUUUUCAGUGCAAAAUUUGAUUCUACGUGCAUACAUCUUGUUCUAGGCUUCACUGUGGUCAUUUUUGGUACCUAUAGUUUAUGGGAUAUCAAUACUACUGGGAUUCAUUAACCCAUCAUCAUCAUGUUUUGCUGAUAGUGUUAGCUUUCUCAUAGGACAUUUAAACAGAAGAAACUCACUUUUGUGUGGAGAAUGCAGCUGAGAAAGACUCAACUUUAGUCAUUUAUAUGGACAUGUCAACUCUUACUUUUCGUGCCUCAGAGUUGAUCCAUCAUGAGUUGCUGCAUAAUACAUCAGCUAUUGUCAUCCAAUGAAUUGACCAAACAUCAACAAAUACACAGCACGUAAAUAGAACAACUUCUCAUUCUCACAUUUGUUGAUUAGAUGUCUACACUGCUGCCUUUAUGUGCUACAUUUAGGACCACAAUAAUUUAUUUUAACAAUUGCAAAGAUGAGAAUGAUAUAUGCAAUUCUUCCGGCAAAUCUAUGUGCUGGCAUUUAUAGCUUUAUUAUUGCUGCAUUUAGGUGUAUCUUGUACCAUCUAGAUGCUUUAGGAAUUUUUGGCCUUAAUUUGUGGAAUAAAACUUAAGAUAUCUGAUAGUUUCUUUUCUGAAAAUUAUAAAUUAUUUCAUUACUCGGCACCUCUUCAAUUUUGUUGUUGGUGUCCGAGUCAGGCUUGUAUCUCUUCAUUUGGUAACUUUAUCUAAGCUAGCGUUUGGCCAUAAAUUCCCAAAUUUAUUCUGAAAAAUCUGAUUUGGGUGAAGUUUGGUUUGAAGAUGAAAAUGUGUUUGGACAUCUGUUUUGGGUGAAGUUUGGUUUGGAAAAACAUGAAACAUGACUUAUACCCACAAGUUCUAAAAACUAUCACAAAUACCCAACAGUACCAUUAUCAAUAACAUUCAUUAUAUUAUCGCAAACCAUAGUCCUGAACAUAAAUAAAUUUGAUACAAAAUUAUCAUUUUUAUAUGAACUACAUGAUACACUAUCAGAUGACCGAGAAGAUGAAGCAACAUCGUUACAAAAUAAUAAAUGGUGGGCUCUUUUAUAAAAUACAAAAGUUUAGGAUAAUUUUUAAAAAAUAUAAUAGUGAUAUUUUGGCCCAAAACCAGCUAUUUUGGGACUUGGGAUUUGGCCAAAAUAUAGGCGAAAUCUAUGGCCAAACAUGUGUUUGCCAGAUAAAACCCAAGUUUAUUUUGGCAAAAUCUAUGGUCAAACGGGUCCUAAGUAUCGUUGGUGCUCCUAAUUUGGAUUUCUCUGUUCCAGUAAUUAAUUAUGAUUUUAUUUCAUUUAUUCCUGAUGUGCUUAUCAAGGUUAUAUAUUGUUGGAAGCUUAUAUGUUCCUUGUUCUUUUGUAUUCUCAUGAGUAGCAUUGAAAUGCGAUAUAUAGAAACAGACGGCUCCGGUAGUAAAUUAUUACUCAAGAAGUAAACAUAAAGAGGAUCAUGCCAAAAAGAAUCUUGCUUUGGCAGUUCUAUUUAGAUGGAUAAAUUGCCUAGAUUGCAUCUUAUUUCAUAAGAAAUUAGAAUCUAUUGCAAUUGUAGGCAUCUAUCUACCCUCUCUGAAGAGGUAAAAAAUAGUAGUAGUUCCCCUUCAUUUGUUUAUUGUACUAAUAAAAAUAUAAAAGGAAAAUAAAAAAUUCAAUUUAUUAAUGUGCUAUGGAUAUUGGUGAUAUCUCAUAUUUCAAAUUUAGACAUGUAAAUGAGCAACAUAAUAGAUAGUCUGCAGCUUUUAUCGCAUUGCAGUAAGAUUAGUGGUUAAUUUUUCAACUAUGGCUUACUGAUCUAUAGUAGCUAUCAGCAUUGUUACUCGAAUUUAAUUUGGACUUGUAUAAUUUCUGUAUAAGCUACCUUGGUGAAUUCUAAUGUGAUUUUCUUUGUUAGGGCAGAACUGAAGAAUCAGAGAACCGAAGAGAUGAUGCUUUAAGGAAAUUGCAUGAAAGAGACUGGACAACAUCUAUUGCAAACAAUUGCACAUGUCUAUUUUGACUGAAACUUCUUUCGUUGACGAUGUUUUAUAAUGUAACUUCUUUUGAUUCUUGGGCACAAAUACGAGGGAGCCAACAUUUUUCAGUAGUGCAAAGUCGUUGCAAUACAGGAUAUGACAGUCGUCAAUCAGGAUAUGUAAGUCUAUUUGUUUAUGGCGUAAAGUGUAAACAAGAGUAGAACACAUGUGUUUCUUUGAUAUGUUAUCAUGGAUUCCUGUAGUGACUCUAUUGGGCCCGUGCAUAGCACGGACAGCAUCAUCUAUCUAGUAACUAUAUAAUAAGUGCAACUUCAUUCGGACGACGAAGGGUAUCUCUUGUUAAUUUAACUUUAAAUAUGGGUAUUAUGGUAAAUCCGCCUCUCUUAACUUUCCAAGACAUGGUAACGUGUACAAUUGUAGCGAUACCCGCGUCACUUUACUUCUCAAACGAUCUUUUGCCUUUUCAUAGCACUUUCGUGAACAAAGACUUGGUUUCAUUUCUCACUCUCUCUGCUGCUAUUUUCGAUGUUCUUCUUCCUCAUCUGUUUUUGCUCAGUUUCUUAUUUUCUUGGUUUUUAAUCUUCUGGUUUCCUUUUGUUUUAUUAUUGUGUGUAAUUUGCUUCUCUUAUUCUUUUUUCAAUUUUCAGAUUCAGAUGUCUCAUAACAUUUUCUUCAUAUGGUUUAAAUUUAUGUAUUUAUCCAACUUUCUCUCUUCAUUUUUUCUUUGCCUUCUCUAUUUGAAUCUGUCUCCAUUUGUUUCUUACUUGAUUUUUCAUUUUUCCUCUAAGACCAUAUGGAUGUAAUUUGGUGCAACUUCUAAGAUUUGAUGCAUGUGUUUGCAGGUAAUUGAAUUUCUUCAUGUUUUUUGAAGGUUUCAGUCUGUUCUUCAAAUAAAGUAAAAUCUCAGCCUUAAUCAUCCCUAUAAUGUUAAUGGAUAUCAGUCUAGGUGUUUUAAAUUUUCAGAUAACGUCAUAUUGGUUCUUGGCUCUGCGUUCUGUGUAGUACGUAUCACUGUUGUACAGUAAAGCAAAGCUUAUUUUUUAACUGCCAGUAGACUGAAAGAAAGAUAUCAAAACAGAGGAUGAUCUUCUAACAUAACUUUACAGCAUCUGUCUAAUGUUACGGCAUUUGAGAAGUUUGGAUCUUUUUUCUUUUUUGAGCUUAUUUUGGAACAAAAUUGAGGGGAUAUUUUCUUUCCUAUUUCUGUGAGUUGAUUGAAAAAGCACUGAACUAGAGUUAUUCCGUUGAUUUGUCUAUAUUUUCUGGAUUAAUGUGCUCCUAUGACUCAUGUUCUGAAGAUUGAUUCUUAUUGGACUUUGGAGGUAUGCCUUUUCUAUUAGGUCCUUCGAGCACUUAACAUUGUUGGUAAGCUCGGUCAUUGUCUAAUUUUGUUUAUACAAUAGUAAUUCUAGAUAUAUGAAGCUCAGAAAGCAGAUGAGCAGUCAUAGUGUUGAUUAACAUGAUAGACUAACAGUCAAGUAUAUUCAUAGAGUAUAAUAGGUGUGGAUCUUAUAUGUGCAAAAUUUUGCGUGAUUAUUGUAGCACCUCAGUCAUUUAUUUUUAAAAACUAGGUUAAAGUAUUGACCCACUUAUUCCUGCUUAUCUUCUUCUGCUUUUCACUGGAGCAGGAAGAAGAGGAGAGAGGGUAAAUUUAUUAAGUGAAAACUUCAGCUGCUCACUAAUUGGCAAAAAGGAAAGAAAAGCAAGUCAAUAUUCUUGUACUAAUCAUAUUGGCAAUUGAUAUUUCGUUUCCAUGAUCUAAGCUGCCUGACCAUCUUUCUAUAAAACUCUUCUUGUUUACAAGCCGGUUUGACUAGAUUUUUAUUACCUAAAAAAUUUAUUGAAAAGUAUCGUACGUCGUUUUAUUAAUUUAUAUCAUCAUAUACAUUCAUAAGGUUCUUUUACCUUGUAAUGUUGAUUGAAUUAGGGGCUGCUGUAACCAUACUUUUGAGUGACGCAUUUUAUUGCUUCUUAUUCACAUAUUUGGAUGUUCUUAUUUUGGACAGUGGAUGAUACCAGCGUUCCUACCGAGGCUGCAAUACAUAUUCUGGUAUUUUUUUCCAUCGGCAUGUUUAUGAUUGUGAAUGGCAUUUGUCAUGUAAGUCUACCAAUAGAACCUUUCCUCUCCCUCUAUUCUCAAUAAAUAUUGCAUUGUUAAUUUCUCUUUUAUAAUGAUUUUGCUUUUGCGAAUGGAAAUGCUUCAACUACUUUUUGGGUGUUAUAUUUUUUAUCUUAGACAGAAAGCAGUAUUACAAAGUUCACUUGCUUAGUGAAAUAUGUUCGUCUUGUGGUGAGCACCCUCCACUUCCAACCAAGAGGUUGUGAGUUCGAGUCACCCCAAGAGCAAGGUGGGGAGUUCUUGGAGGGAGGGAGCCGAGGGUCUAUCGGAAACAGCCUCUCUACCCUAGGGUAGGGGUAAGGUCUGCGUACAAACUACCCUCCCCAGACCCCACUAGUGGGAUUAUACUGGGUUGUUGUUGUUGUUGUUGUUGUAUUUAAAGUGAAUAAACUGAUUUUGUCAUUUUAACCUUUUCUGGUCUUGAGCAGAUAGUUUUAGUUAUAUAAUUUAACUCAAAACUUUGAAGGGAAAAGAAACUCAAUGCGACACUCUAUACUUGGGUGAAAAAUUAACUCUUUAUUAGCUUGAUUAAAAGGAAGAAUAACAACAGAAUAACUGGUGCAUUAUGAGUUUGAGAUCACAUCAUGUGAUCAAAGAAACAUUUUUUUUCUAUUCUGGUGUUAGUACAAGAACUCAAUGAGGAACAUCUCAUUAUAACAUCAUAAUGCAGAGAAUGCUCUAACAUACAAAAUGCAACUCUUAAAUCAUUUUAGUUGGGAAAAAAAAUCAUUUUAGUGAAUGUUCAACAAUUUAUGUUUUAAAAGAUAUCUAAAUUUUUCUGUGUGGGGAAAGGAAGACAAUGAAAAAAGCCACGGCAAGUAAUGUCUCUAAUAUUGCAUCAUUCGCUUAGAGUUCAAUCCUUCCUUUUCUACGCUUACCCUCUUUUUGUUUCUUUUAUGUGCUUAUAUUGUUCUGUGCAGGCCCUGAUUUUACUAUUUUUUUUUUGUAGCAUCAAUUCUAUUGCAAAAAAAUUAAAGGUUGGGACUUAUACAGCUGAAUGCUAUGUCCAGACUAAUCAAAGAAGAAGUUAAAAGGGAAGCUUGCUCUUAGAAUUAUAUAAAUGUUAAAUGUAAUGUUAGAAAAGUAUCCAAGUGAGAAAAACAUCAGUAGACAGAUACUUACCAUCGCUCAGAAAGAUGAGCGAAAAUCCAACCUAAGAAUCUACUAAUGGCAUCUCUUCGAGCGCUAUUUAAAAGUCGAGUAGUGGAAUGGGAAAUGUUACUGCAUUUAUCUGACCUUAGUAGAUAUUAUAUCUAUAAUUAGCAUAAGAGAAACACAGACUCUUGAAAAAGUAAAAUAACAUUAAACUACUGGCACAUGUAGAGUGCUUAUUUUCUGUGAGAGUAUCAAAAUCACUUUUUAUUGUUUGUGAUAAUGUUUUGUCCAAAAAAUUGCAGGAUGCAUCUAAGAAUGUGCUUCGGCUAAGUGCACUAGUUCUUGCUUUUUAUUUGAUGCGGAUUCUAUAAACUCUUUUCAAGAAUUUACCUUGAUAUCAAUGCAUCAAUUCUCGUCGUUCAAUUUUUUCCCGAGUGCAAUUAUUCCAUUAAGAUUUGGAAGAGAAAAGUGAGAAACUUAUCCAGUGGCUGACUGGAGAAUAUUCUUGUUUGAUGAGGCUAGGCUUGAUAUCAAGAAUUGAUGAAGGAAACCAAGAGGCUCAGACAGUAUUUCAAAACACAUGGCUUUCUAUCCUUCCUCAUCGGUUGACUUAACUCGAGAUAAUGAAGAUUUAGAAUAUUUUGCUGUAAGAUUGUUUUGUGAUGCUUGAAAUAGCUGAUUUCAGGUAGUUGCUAAUUAUUUCAAUAUGAGCACAGUUUGAGAAUAUUGCAAAUACUUUCCCCGUGGUGUAGUAUCAUGGUAAAAAUUAUUUUCCCAUUCAUUAUGAUGAUGUUGCUUGCUGCUCAACCUAGACUUUCCUUGGAAUUUGGUUCUCU